rnacentral:rRNA from 1 species
UACGUAGGGUGCGAGCGUUGUCCGGAAUUAUUGGGCGUAAAGGGCUCGUAGGCGGUCUGUCACGUCGGGAGUGAAAACACGGGGCUUAACCCCGUGCCUGCUUCCGAUACGGGCAGACUAGAGGUAUGCAGGGGAGACUGGAAUUCCUGGUGUAGCGGUGAAAUGCGCAGAUAUCAGGAGGAACACCGGUGGCGAAGGCGGGUCUCUGGGCCGAUACUGACGCUGAGGAGCGAAAGCGUGGGGAGCGAACAGG